CGGAGAGGAGAGGAGGCACCCUUGAACGACUGCAGACCAGCUGUGGGCACUUGCUGCUCCUCCAGGAAAGGGUGAGGUCCGUGCUCAGCUAUGCUCGCAGGCCUGCUGUCCUCACUCCAGAAUGAGUGCUGGCUCUGCCUCUGGCUGCAGAGUUGAGGCUGGACUCUGGAGUGGAUGGUGGAGAUGAGGCACAGUGGAGAGAAAGCUGGGCUAGGCCAUUGAAAUAGAGGCUGGAUUUCUUAAUAAGAAUAUCCCCAGUACCAAAAGAAAAGGUGAGGUGGCAACCUGAUUUUUAAUGGCUUAAAAUGUUGAUGAUGAUCCUAAUUAUAUAAACACACACAUAUAUCUAGUGAUUUCUAAGGAUUUGUUUACUUUUUGUGUUCUGUUUUGCUGUAUUAAAAACUUGUCCUUUUCCUUAAAUCAAAGUAGGACUCGAGUCCUCCUCGUUUUUCACAGUGGCUUUGUUUCAGAGGUACACUGACUCCAGUGGUGUCAGGAUGAGGUGGCCCCUGGCUUUCUGGUUCACAACAAGCUAGAGAUUUUCAAAGCUACCCUUUUGAGUAAAACCCCUUAUUAAAAGAGAAAA
rnacentral:lncRNA from 1 species